CUACCACCCAGCCUGAAGGUGUCAGAGGAAAACAGUACAUGGGGUCAAUUUUUAUCAUCUCUCAUCAAAUUCAGAAUCACAGAUGAACCAAGCCCCACACUGCUGUCCUGGAGGCCUGAUGAUUUUGCAGGAGGCUGUGCUGACUGCCUGUACAUCCAGCUGCUGCCUGCUCCCCCCUCCUUGAACAAGAAGCAGGGAAAACCAGCAGGCGCUGAGGUCUGUGUGGCUGUAGCUGGACAGUUACCGAUGCUGGAGUCUGCAAGACUUCUGCUGAGGCACGGCACACUCCUGGGAGCAUCCCUCCCAGGGGAAAAUCUGGUCUUUUGGGAGAGCUGCCAUGAGGCAGGGAUGGGCUCCCCCUCCCCUCUGUCUCUCCUUUUACCCUUCCUUUGGGUAAGGUUAUGACAGCGGAUGACAAAGAAGCUGCGGAUGCUUGUUGGUGCUGUGCUGUGCUGUGCACUGACGCUGGCGCUCGGUAGUGCAGGAAGGCCUUUUCUUCCAGGCCUUUGCAUUUGCAAUUUGAAUUUAAUCCCGUGAGCUAAAGAUAGCUCUGGCUCGCCUAUUGUUCCUCCAGCUGGCAACAGCUUUAUUUCUUUGAUGCUUUCAGUUCUCGGUUGUUUCCAAGGAACUGGCAGAGACACUUUUAAUACAGAGCCUGUCCCAGCCCUGUAUCACGCCGACCACUGCAUUCACCCUCCUGGCCCUCCCUUUGGUGCUCUGCCUCCCGCUGGCGAGGUCUCCCGCAGGGGCUGCAAGUCUCCUUCUUGCUGACACGAGCUUUGUCUGCACAUACCCAUGAUAUCACCCCCCACAUCCCCUGGCUGGCUUCAGGGCUGCUCUGCAAUGGCUCCUCCAGGAGCUGGAGUCUUCCUCGGGAACAGACCUUUCACGAAAGCCUUGCUCGGGAGCUUUCUGUGUCGCAUCAGCUGAGGAACUGCAUGCUCUGCAAGGUCACUGAAUGCAUGUUUGUCUCUCAAGUAGUCUGAACAAUGAUUUGAAGUGAAUUAAUGUCAGUAAGCUCUCAUCUCUGAUUGCUUAGGUUUGUAUUUGGUGUAUGUGCAUCACACAUGUAUGUAUCAUAUGUAUCAUACAUGUUGUGCUGUGUAUGUGAUUUGACGCCUUCUAAUUUCAGGGACAAAAACUAUGUGCUUUUCCAAGAACUGAAUUUGGGACUGUUCCAUGCUAAUUCAUGUUGUUAAUUAGCUAUAGCAGGCAGCCAAUAAAGCAACAUAAAUGAUUUCAGGUUCCUUAGGAAAUAUGCCAAUACAAACGCAAAUACCGAUUUAGAUGUGGAAUUUUUGCAGCGCCUCUCAGUGAAACUCAUUCAUUAAAUUAAAUAAACGCGAAAUGGUUGCAGGCUGCUGAUGAACAGUUUGUGAACUGGAAAAGGGAGCACACUGGAUCAGUAAAUCCCUCCUUGGGCAUAUCAGCAGCUCUCAUCCCACCGGCAGGAAGGGUGGGGAGAGCCGUGCCUCGCUGAGGGCAGCAGCCAGCCUCCCAGCACCGCAAGCUGCAGCGGAGAUUUCCUGGCUCUGGCAGGAAGCGCUGCUGGUUCGUACCGCUGGCGUGCCGCCCAAAGGCUUGCCUGCUGUCAUAAGGCACAGAGCUGCAAGGAACUGCGUGGGAGAUGAAUUAAAAAAAGAAGAAGAAGAAGAAGGAAAAAAUAAAGUCAGGUUCCAGAAGUGUUCAACAGGGACACUUCCUUUCCCACAGAAGAAAAAGCCGUUCCUAUGUGCAGGCAAUAUUGCAGAAAUCGAACACAGCACAAGGGGAAAUCUGCUUCUGGGCUCCCAGGCAAACUAAGGGGAGUAUCUGCAGCCUAUUCCCCCUUUUCUGGAGAUCAUCCUAGUGCCACAGAAGACUGCAUCUGAGUGAAUUAUAUAAAUACUGCUUUUAAAAGACUUUUCUCCCCUCAACCCUGCCCCAGUUCCUGGUUUGGCACAGAAUGGGGAAUCUCAAAUGAAAGCACUCUGCAGUAAAGCACCAACUGUUUGGAAAACUGGCUGUGCAGGAGUGGAAGGAGUGCAGAUAUUGGGGAUCAGACACUUCAGCAGAAUGGAAGCAGAAUAUGAGAAGUUUUCCAAGAGUGGGUUACCAAGUGGCCUUAGGGACAAACGCCAAAAAUAUUAGUUAUGCUCUCAAUCAUGUGUGUCUUGGCCUUUGCAUGGCUUGCAACCCUAGGACUGGGAAUCGGAUCUCCCCCUGCAGCCUCUGGGACUUCUCCCACACAGCUGCUUGGGUGCUUUUCUCCAGGUCCCAGGCAUGUCAGACUGCGAGGAGCUUUAUUUUGUCCCUGAUGGCAAAGGAAGCAGACACAGGAAGUCUUGAUUGUCUUGAUACAGUUGUUGCUAAAUAGUUGUUCACAUCAGACACAAUUUCAGUAUCCCCAAGGUGCUCCAGGAAAUACGUGUACCUGUGCUUUACAGGUCACUGCUGUACUGAGUCCAUGCUAGGCCUGCAAGUAUAUCCACCUGGCACCCCUUAAAAGAAAAAUAACACACUGAAGCAAUUUUUUAUCAUCAAUAUUACACAGGGUAACUAAAGCCUUUGUGGUCGGACUUCAGUCUGUGAUCACUAGCAGGCACAAAAACUUAGCGGAAAAGGACAUGUCUGACAGAAAGAAAAAUAAGGGUCUUCUCCCUAUUGGGAGCCUUGAGGAAGACAUUAUAUUUGAGGAGCUAGUGACAUUGAGCAAGCCAUGUCUGCUUUACUGGGGCCUGUCCUGGGGAGGCUGCAGACCCAUGUACGCAGCAACAUGAGGGAAAAUGCUGAGAUGGAUAUUGGUGUCACUGGUGGUGUGCUCUGGCAGACAUCCUGAAAGACAGAGUGUCCCUACCUGUCGGAAGAAUAUAAUAUGAUUUUUUUUGUCAUGUGAGGUUAAAGGCACCAUGCUACAGGAGGGAGACCCAUCCCCUCACUGAUGCAAUCUGCAGUCUGUGCUGUGGCUAUUCAGCUGGAGGCCAACCGAUGCAGCACGUAUGUGGGGUUCCCAGCAUCUGAAAGGACAUAAUAAUUACUUUAUCUUUGUAUUCCUCUUCUUAUUUUAUCUUAUUAAUAAAGCAAUAUCAUCAUUA